UUUGUGUGUGUGUGGGGUCAGUCUGUGUAUGUAUGGGUCAUACAUACACAGACUGACCCCACACACACAGACU